rnacentral:lncRNA from 1 species
CUUCCGAGUAACUUCUGACCAUCUCUUGUCAGCAAGGAAGAGGAGGUGAAUGAAGUGGCUAAGAAGUAAGUGCCUUUUGUUUCCUCGGUUUAGCGAAUGUUGACCACCUGCCCAACCAGAAGAUGAUGCUGUGUCACUCAGCUUCCAGUCCUUGUGACAAGAGCUCUCAAGGGACAGAAAGGCUUGUGUUGGCUUCUUGCCUGGAGGUUUUAAUUAAUCCAUGCUUGGUGGGCGUGGUUGCCUGUGUUGUGGAGGGAGCAGAAGGCAGAGGAAAGCUGCAUGAGGGCUAGGAAGUGGGAGAGAUGGAAGGUUCCCAUGUAUCUGUCAAGGGUGUGUGCUCGGUGACCUUUCUCCAUAACUAGUACCACCUGUGGCUGGCAUUUCCGACCCCUCCCAGGAGCAUAGUCAGCUGAGAAUCAAGCCUUUAGCCCAUGAGCUUUGAGGGGACUUUACAGAUCUGAGCCACGAAAAGUAGCUUUGAUGGCUUCCUUUUGAAAUGCUGUACUAAAGGUCUGUCUGCCUCCCAGGCUGUGUCCUUGCUUUGCACGUCUGGUUUUCAGUUUUGGGUAAGUAAACAAGCCCCUGAACAACUGUUCUACCUUUCGGACUUACAGCCCACCUGGAAGACACUUUAUAGCUGAUGCCAAGGUCCUGCUCCCUGUACUUUUCAGGGUGAGUGUUUCUUACUCUCUAACAAUUGCUGAAGCUGAGCUUCAUUAGAUAUGCUACAGAAGAGCUGGUGAGACUGCUCAGCUGGUAAAGGCACAUGCGACCAAGCCUGCCUACAGGUUUUGAUCCCUGGAACACCUGAGAACUCACUUUUGAUGUGCAAACCCAUCCAAACGACAAGCUCCUUAGGAACAACCUGAAGAUGGGGUUGAGGUAGCUCUCCUGAAAAGUCUCUCUGUAUGGAGCAGGUCUGUGGCUAGUGGUCGCCAUUACAGAGAGAUUGAUCAUGAACGUGGGGUUUCUGAAGCUGCGUUCUCAGGCUUUUAAGAUACAGGUGGAGAGUGCUGGUCAGUCAAAGAAAGCCAAGUGUGGACUUUCUGAUGGUCGAUCGCUGAGGUCACCGGUGGGGUCUUGGCUGCUUGAUUUUGAUUUAUCGGCCCGAGGACCCUGGAGACAGCAUGUUGGUUUCUGAACUGUGAGGACAGCUGCAGUCACAGGGUGACCUCUACACUUUCUGUACUGAGGAGAGGUGUAAGCGUCAUGUCCUUCCACAUCCAGCCUGAGCUGCUCUGAUGGAUGUGUGCUGGAGCACAUCUGUGUCCUGGCUCUACCUUUUGUUCUUGGAUCCAUCUUCUGCCGUGUUCUCAAACCUUCCCAGGGCUGUAUGUAAGCUCCUUGCCAGGGGCCAAAUGGGAGGGACUAGGGAGGACAGGAAGUACCAGAUGGUGACUUGGAAUGUUCGAAUUGGGGUGGGG